UGGCUAUAAAAUAAAAGUUAAGAAAUUGAUUAAUUUAAGAUUGUGAUGAAUUGUUACGAGUUGGAUAAAUUUAUCAAUGUUCAUAAAUCCUACUAUUCAUUUCUCCUUUUUGUAGUUACAGGAAAAGAGAGAGUCAGCCUUCUUGUGUGAGCGCCAUAUUUUUGUUUCCUUUACAGUAGUUCUAGUAUUCCUUGGAUACAUCAAAUUGAAAAUUCUAGAAAGCCCGAUUACAUAAUUGUCUAACCUUGUAAUUCUAUUAACCUUGCAUUAGAUAAGAUCAAACCUAUAUGCUAUAAUUGUUGAGAAUUGUUUACAGCUUUAAAAAAGCUAAUUCUAAUUUAAUGCUCUCUGAGCAGUCUGGUGUAAAACCCCGAGAUAUCUUCCAUGGUCCCUCAUGGACUUCAGGGGAUAGCCUGGGAUGUUUUUUUUUAACUCCUCUGGGUCUAGUUUGACCAUUUUGAGAGUGAUUUUCUUCCUUUCCGACGUUUCGGACUUGCUGACGGCGGUCCUAGAGACGGCCAACUGCUUGGAGUGUGCGAAUGGAAAUUCUUCCAUCUCGUUCAAGUGUCAUUUUCUCAACUUGUACGUGAGCUAGAGAGCUCAGAUUUGUUUUAUUUUGUAAUUAAUUUUUUAGGCUUUUAUAUAUCGAACUAUGACCUAAUUUCAAUCACUCAACCUUCAUUAAAUUUACCUUGUUAAUUAAAAUUUUACCCAAUUGAAUGGGUGAGUUCGUAGAGUUAAACUCAUGGCACCCAUAGAUGGAGUUGAUAUGUUUGUAAUGAAGAAAUUAUAAAAGGAAAAACGGUUGUUGCGGGUGUUUUUUCUUCUGUUAUGUUCAUUAUUUAAUCAGUUGUCAUGGCCUUAACUUCUCUCUCUCUGAAGUAAGCAUUAUCGGUUAUCUUUGGUGUUAAUUGCUUUAACAAUCCAUAAUAAAAUAAAUAUAUAUGAAUUUAAAUAUACUUAUAAUAUUUUCCCAGCAAUAAUGCUAUUUUAAAUGUAGAAGGUUCUCCUCUUCGCCCAAGGAAUUCUUGCCCUUGAAACUUUCGCCCCCAUCUAUAUAUUAUAGCAUAAAUGUAUCUUCCCACAUAUUUUUUCGGGCUUAAAAUGGGUCUUCCUUCACUUCAAAUUCUUUGUAGUUCAUUUUUUUUUGCAUGGACAACUUUGCCAAAUGAAUUCAACAGGGCUUUCCAAAAUCAAUCAUUAAGGAUUCCGGUUCUACAGCUUCGUCUCAAUCAUUUGCGCAUCUUGUCAACUUUAGUCUAUGUAUUUAUUAAUUAUAUCUUUCAUAAUAAUAUGUGGAAAUAUUUAACUGAUUUAGAGAUGAAUAGACUUAGGAUUUGUGAACGAUGGCUCAAAAAAUUGCUCAUAUCGCCUUGUUUUUAUAAAAAUAUCUCAUUUUCUAAACUGGUAUGAAAUAAAUAGAGAAAAAUUGGAUUCUAGAUGGAUUACACAACAGCUUUUGAUGAUUCCUUUAUUAUAUUUUUCGAGGGAAAAUCCACUUGCAAAACUCCUCCUUUAUUAGACUCUAUUUUUGGAGGUAAAACUACUUAUAUGAUGCAAUCAAGGUUAUGAUUACAUGAUAGAAUAUGUGAAGGAGUCAGAUUUUGACAACAAACAAUGGGAAAUUUGGCACAAAAUUGACUGUUGAAUAAUCCCCCUUGAAUCUUGCAACAAAGGAGAAAUACUUAAUUGAAAAAUCCUGAAGAUCUCGCCAACUUCAAAUUUGCUUCUUUCUUAAAUAUUGAUUUGUCGAUAUAAUUAGAAAAAUAUAUGUAUAAAUUAUGAUAAUAAUAAAAAACACUUCUUUAAA
rnacentral:lncRNA from 1 species